rnacentral:lncRNA from 1 species
AUCGGUCCCUCCCAGUCACACACACAUACAAACACCCUGACACACGCGCGCGCACACACACACACACUAAUUCUCACACACACCCCCUCCCAUCCCUCCCCAGCCCACGUCCAGCUCGACUUCCAUUGGUCGCUUCGUAGGAAGCUCGGUCGGCGGUUGGCUGGCCCUGCGCUCUCGCCCCGCCCCUCCUGGACUGGGAAAGUUUGGCUCGAAUUCCCCUGCCUCCUCUCCCCUCCCCUCCUCCUCCCCCCUUUCCUUCCCUUUGCCCCCUUGGCCUCGGCCUCCGGGAUCCAGACAGUGCAUGGGGCCCCGGGCCGGGCUGCAGGCGUCCGGCAGCCGCCGUACACGCUAGAGGCACGGGCUGGCUCAAGUAUCCCUGCCGGGCUGCCGGGCGCGCUCCCCUUCCAUCUCAUCCUCAUCCCCAGGUCCCCUGCGUGGGCUCCGGGACCUAGGGCUCCGGGGCAGCGAGUGGCCCCCGAGCUCCUGGCGAGCUUCAGCGUCGGCUGCGGCAGCGGCAGCAGCUCUUGGAGAGUCCGCGGAGCUCCGUGGAGGCGGACCUGCUGGCAGGUGAGCUCCCCUGCGCCCCUGGCGCCAAAGAAGGUGGAAGCAGCGGAGACCCCCGAGUCCCCUGAGCCCACGGUCGGGGUGGGAGCAGAAAAGACAGCCGGGCUGCCCGGGGACUCCGACCCCCGUGGGGUCCUCCCGGAUUUGGGGGGACAUAGAUUGGGCAGCCUGGGCUGCGGCCCGCCUCCACCCCUGUCCCGUUUCCUCGUCCCUCUCUCAAUCUCCACCUCUUUCGCCCAUCUCCCUGCCUCGGUGUAUCUCCGCUCUGGGGCUCGCGGUCCCUCCCUCCCCUCCCCUCUUCUCCCCUUAUCGGUUCUGUUGCUCUUUGUGUUUCUUAGGCUCCCUCCCCAAGUGGGUUUCAGGGCUAGUCUCCCGGCCUCUUAUCUUUGUCUCCGUUUCUGUCUAGCUUCCUCAGCGUCCCUUUUCUCUCACUGUCUGGGGGAGGGGGGCNUGGGUUCAGGGGUUAUUCUCCCCGCUUUUUUUUUUUUUUUCCCUUUCGGUCAGACUCCCUCCAGCGUUCUUUUUUCUUCCUUUUUUAGGAAAGGGGGGUUUGUUGUGGGGGGGGGGGGGGAGGGAGACGGGGCUGGGGGCUUUGACACGUCCUCCCUUCCUGAUUUUGCAGCGCAGCCUGCUUUGGCCCCUCUUUUGGACUUCUGGAUCCUUUAUCCCAAAUCAGGAAAGUCAGGGACUGGAUCUGGGGGACCCCAGGGCGGCACCCCAGCCUCUCUCCUGGCAGAGAAUCCUCCUCUGAAGCCGACACACUCCGCCCCCCCCCCCCAAGGUCUGGUCCUGCCCCCCUGA